rnacentral:rRNA from 1 species
CAGUCGCCGCGGGAAUACGGAGGGUGCAAGCGUUAAUCGGAAUUACCGGGCGUAAAGCGUGCGUAGGCGGUUCGUUAAGUCUGUUGUGAAAGCCCCGGGCUCAACCUGGGAAUGGCAAUGGAUACUGGCGAGCUAGAGUGUGUCAGAGGAUGGUGGAAUUCCCGGUGUAGCGGUGAAAUGCGUAGAGAUCGGGAGGAACAUCAGUGGCGAAGGCGGCCAUCUGGGACAACACUGACGCUGAGGCACGAAAGCGUGGGGAGCAAACAGGAUUAGAUACCCCCGUAGUCCCUGUCUCUUAUAC